AACACACAAAUAACACUUUUCACAGUAGACUUACUCAGUCCCAGCAAGCCUGGGGACAAAUUAAGCCCUGGAUGGGGAGGUGGGGGUAGGCAGCAGUGCC